rnacentral:rRNA from 1 species
UACACACCGCCCGUCACACCAUGGAAGCUGGCCACGCCCGAAGUCGUUACUUUAACCUUUUUGGAGGGGGACGCCUAAGGCAGGGCUAGUGACUGGGGUGAAGUCGUAACAAGGUAGCCGUACUGGAAGGUGCGGCUGGAUCACCUCCUU